UACGUAGGAGGCAAGCGUUGUCCGGAAUCACUGGGCGUAAAGCGCGUGUAGGCGGUUGGGCAAGUCUGCGGUGAAAGCGCCCGGCUUAACUGGGCGAGGUCCGUGGAAACUGCUCGACUGGAGGACGGUAGAGGGGGGUGGAAUUCCCGGUGUAGUGGUGAAAUGCGUAGAGAUCGGGAGGAACACCAGUGGCGAAGGCGGCCCCCUGGGCCGCUCCUGACGCUGAGACGCGAAGGCGCGGGGAGCGAACGGG
rnacentral:rRNA from 1 species